rnacentral:lncRNA from 1 species
GGUACAGAGCUUUCAUACUGUGUGCGUUGUUCUUCAUCACAGCAAGCCAAUUAUCGUCUCUUCUUAUGACCACACGCCCCAAUGCUGAUGUCAAUCUUUACCACAGUGGAGAACUAGCGGUAUAUAAUCUGUCUUAACAUUUUCUUAAUGAAUAUGUUUGUCUUGAGUGGGUAGGGGUAGGAAUUGGAAUGGAAUUUCCAAUUUCUGCCGAUUUUGAAACAAUAUUUUUCAUUCCGAAUUUUUCUGGAUCGGAAUUCCGUCCGAUUUCAAGACUCUCGAGAUGUUGAUGAUUAAUAAUUUUUCUAUUAUUAUGAACAACAGGUUUGCUCUGUUAGCCUUGUGGCGGGACUAUUAAUUCUGCUGCGAAGUGCCGCUAGAAUCACCCACAAGGCACAGGCUGUGACGUGCCUUGCAUCCAAGUGGCACGUCUGUGCCACAAUCGAUUCGUUCGACACCACCGAGACUGAAACUCCGGUGACUCGAAUGGUGGAGGAGCGGAUAUUCAGUGCAACCUGUUCCGACGGUUCUUUUGAUCUGGACGAUGUUGGUGAUGAAGAAGAUGAACUCGAUAACUCCAAGUUUGUUCCUAUGUAUACACACAGCACAAUCUCGUUUCAGAAAAGACAAGCAUUGGGUAAGAGUUUUAUAUGCUUCGAAAUGAUUUUUCUAAAUUGUGUUAGAUGUUUGAUGUAUUAUGGAUUUUUUUUUUCUUUUCGCAGUGACGUAUUUUGAGAACAAUAGAGCUGGAAUUACGGUGUACGGGUUCAUGCUGGACCGAAGUUCUCUUAACACCAUAUUCGGGCUCGAGUUAUCGCUGGUUUUGUGGCUACUUGGGAAUACCACAGGCAUAUCUUGAAUUAGCAAAUAAGGACUUGUUUGUUUGUUUGUCCGAGGUUUUCUUUAUCUGGCUUUGAUGUCUGAAAAUCCACCAUUGGUUGUGCUUGUGCAUGGAUCAGCGAAGAAUUCGUUGAGCAUGUAGAGAGGAGCAGCAAUUUAUUUAUUAUUGUUGUUUAGUUUUUGUAUAUGUUUUCAUAUUUUUGGUUUUUGCUUCUCUUAGAAAGAGUGAUGAUUACUGGUGUAUAUACAUACACUUAUACAAGUCUUUAAAUUUUUCCCCAGGCAUUAUACUGGUUCAUGUAAUGAAUCGAUAGUACUUGGACAGUACAUAUAAUGUUAUUUGAAUAAUAAAAAUUGAAUCUUUAUACUUAGUCAAUCGAACAGUUUGUACCCGUUUUACCAUAUUUGAGUUCCACAUUUUGAAACAAGAUGAUCGUAAGAUGUGUGUCUUGACUUGUAAAUAUCGGAUAGUGGUAUAUUAGUAACUGCAUUUUUGCACAAAACGAGUAUAAACUAAAGAACAUUUCACGUAAUUUAGAACAAAUUACUAAACAAUCCUUCCUUCAUGUUUGGGUAAUUACAAGCACCCCCUUCAACUUUGAAUCUUCUAGAUAAUGUUGAAUAUUCUUCAGUUUGUACCCGUUUUACCCCAUUCGAGCUCAUGUACGGUUAAACAACUUAAUCUGAAUGAUCAAAAUAAAAAAUGGUCGACUAUGAACUGGACUUCAAUUAGCUCAAGCAUUUCUAGGAGUUGGACCGUCAGAGAAUUAAUUAAGUCGAUAGACCCAAUCCCAAAAUUCAUAUUUGAGUCCCAAACUUUAACAAAUGGUGGCCAACAUUAAUUUAUUAUGUAUAUUGAAUGUUAGUGAAGUCUUUAAAACAAAUCAUUUUCAGUUAUUCACCAUUGUUAAACCAAGCCCACCACUCACUUUUCUAUCAACUUAAAUAUUCAGUAUUUAAAUUCUUUGCUUUAUUUUCUCCAGUCUAUUCAAUAAAUAAAAUAAAUAAGAAAUAGGAAAUAGUCAAAUAGGAGACCAGGCUCAGAGUAGACUUGCCAAACUCAAACACAACAAAAAGACAAAAACUUGUUUUCCAAUAGUAACCCAAAUAUUUGAAAAGAGGAUCCGGUGGAGCCAAAAAAUGGAGAUAGAUUCCGCCCCGAUUAGUCGGUGCUCCAAGGAGCACCAGAAGAUCUACCAGGACUGGUUUUCUUUCGCCGAUUCAGGUUUUUUUGGCCUUGAUUUCACGUCACUGUUUACCUUUUUUAUUUUUAUUUUUUGAUUUACUGAUUGCAAACCUAGAAAAUGCAAUAACCUUCAGAUGGAGACGGCCGACUCACGGGAGCCGACGCCACCAAAUUCUUUUCCUUGUCUAAUUUGCCUCGUCAAGAUCUCAAACUGGUAACCCCCCCCUUUUUUUUCACUUUUUCAAUUGGUUUUUUUUAGUAAAUAUAGUUUGGGGGAGUUCAGACUUUUACUAGGUUUAGGUUAUUAUGGAGUUAAAUUGUUUGGAAUUGAUGUGGUCCAGUUAGUGCAGAGUGAAUGUGCUGAUUUCGGACUUUACGUUUAUGUGUACAUAUAAUUCAUUUUUCCGGAGCCAUUGUCGAAUUUGCUUGUAAACAGAUUCAUAUUUGUUUGCUCGUUUAAUGUUGUUCGAGUGCGGCAUAUUGGCUUGUUUUAUGUUUGUAGGAUUUCGAAACUGGAUAGAAACCUUGAUUACAUCUACUUCAAUUUAUUUUAUCUGUCUUCUAAUUUUUCGUUUGCUUUUGUUUCGUUUCGACAAGGUCUGGGCAAUUGCUGAUCCGGUGGAGCCAAAAUUACCCGAUUCGGAAUCUCGAGAAUGGAGAUUGAUUCCGCCCCGAUUAGUCGGUGCUCCAAGGAGCACCAGAAGAUCUACCAGGGCUGGUUUUCUUUCGCCGAUUCAGGUUUUGCCUUGAUUUCACGUCACUUUUUUUUUUUUUUUUUUUUUUUGAUUUACUGAUUGCAAACCUAGAAAAUGCAAUAAUCUUCAGAUGGAGACGGCCGAUUCACGGGAGCCGACGCCACCAAAUUCUUUUCCUUGUCUAAUUUGCCUCGUCAAGAUCUCAAACUGGUAACCAUCCCCCUUUUUUUUUCAACUUGUUCAAUUGGUUUUUUAGUAAAUAUAGUUUGGGGGAGUUCAAAAAUUUACUAGGUUUAGGUUAUUAUGGAGUUCAAUUGUUUGGAAUAGAUGUGGUCCAAUUAGUGCAGAGUGAAUGUGCUGAUUUCGUACUUUACGUUUAUGUGUAUAUCUAAAUCAUUUUUUUCGGAGCCAUUGUCGAAUUAGCUUGUAAACAGAUUCGUAUUUGUUUGCUCGCUUAAUUUUGUUCGAGUGCGGCAUAUUGGCUUGUUUUAUGUUUGUAGGAUUUCGAAACUGGAUAGAAGCCUUGAUUACAUCUACUUCAAUUUAUUUUAUCUGUCUUCUAAUUUUUCGUUUGCUUUUGUUUCGUUUCGACAAGGUCUGGGCAAUUGCUGAUUCGAAAAGGCAAGGGUUUCUUGGAUUUAAAGAAUUCAUUACAGCAAUGCAGGUUUUGCUCGUUUUUUAUCUGUUCUGCGAAAAUGAUCAUUAUAUUAUGAUGCUUAUCUCUGUUUACCGUUUGGCCAUGUAGUUAGUUACUUUGGCACAAGCUGGGCAUGCCCUUACUAGCGAUAUUUUGAGCUCUGAAGGUUAGUGCUCGACUAUCAUAUGAUUUCGCUUCUUUUAUUUUCGAUUUCCUAGUUCGAUCUAAUUACUUUUAGUAUGUUCUAUUUUAUAAUUAUGAUCGUGAAAAUGUUUAAUUACAUUUGUUAUUGGCAGUUGACUUUGAAAACUUGCAAACACCGGCUCUGGAUGUUCUGGGUGCGCUUUUCACUGUAAGUUCGUUUUCCUAGUUUAUACUUCCGUUAGUUUAGAUACCAAUUAAUGGAGCUGUUUUCUUUCUUUUAUGCAGAAGAAAAAGCGUUUAUCAAAUGAACCCGAACAGAAUGGUAAGAUGGAUAACGUUGUUCAAAUUCGAAGCUUAGUAUCUUGAUAUUUGAAGCUGACUUUGAUAUGAUUUAGGUAGUCCUCAAGUUCAAUCUUCACUUGCAGCUAGCUGGUUUUCUUCUUCAAAAUCUGCAAAGAAGGUAUUCCGACAUUUUUAGUAUCUUGCUUUUGCAUUUCCGUUUCAUCCUUAUAUAGUGUCUUAUGUGGUUAAUCAAACUGUUUCAACAGCAUAUGAGUAGUUCUCUACUGAGCAAUUCCAGCAGUUAUACAUAUUAGUGUACGUUCUACUCCAAAAUUUCAACCACCCGAGCUUUAUUCCGCUCUCGUUUAUUUGGGCUUCUCGCCUUAACCCUGAGUUUUGAUUGCACUUUCAUAUUGAACUGUUUCCUUUCCUUUUUGUUUUUUUAAUGUAUAAUCAUCAAAUCACUUCAAGAUUUUAUGUCCUAUUUAAAGAUAAUUCGCUUCCAAGUUUUAAAUCUCAAAUUAAUUGUGUUGUAUUUACGAAAGUUCACUGUCCUCGCAUUCCACUUCCUUUUCUUUACUGAAUCUUUUAAUUCCUGGAAUGAUCCGUUGUUAUUAUUUAUUGUAUUAGAUAUCUUUGAGCUCUGUCACUUCGAUUGUUGAUGGAUUAAAGAGGCUGUACAUUCAGAAGCUGAAGCCCCUGAAACAACCUAUCAGUUUAACGACUUUGUUUCUCCCUCACUGGUAAGUAUUCCUUCUUCCGUCAAAUCUUUUUUGGUUGCAGUUUUUGCUUCUUUGAUAUAUAUAAUACUUUAGCUGCUUAUGUUUGGGAUUGACUUUUUGCAAUUACGUAUUGUGUGUUGAAAGACCAACAGUGAUUUCGAUGCUAAACCUAUGGUGAUGCUACUGGGUCAAUAUUCAACUGGAAAGACGACAUUUAUCAAACAUUUGCUCAGAACAAGUUAUCCAGGUAUUUAACAACUCUCGUAUUCAUCUACCUUCAUUUUCUUUGUUUGUAAAAUAUAUCGUUAAUUGUUAACCUAUUUUGGGUCAUAGGUGCUCAUAUCGGACCAGAGCCCACCACAGACAGAUUCGUUGUUGUGAUGGUAUGUUAUUGUUAUGAUUUAUUUAUCUAUAGUACUAAUAUUUAAUUAUUAGAGGUAAGUUAGACAUAAAUCUAUAUGGUUCUUCAAUCUCGUUUUUUUUUUUAAUAUAUAUUUGGGGCAAGAUUGUUAGUUGUUUCAUUAAUUUUUGCUGAUAUAUAUUUAUUAAUUAAUGCAGAAUGGACCUGAUGAGAGAAGUGUUCCAGGGAACACUAUCGCCGUUCAAGCAGAUAUGCCUUUCAGCGGUCUGACAACAUUCGGAAGUGCGUUUUUGUCUAAAUUCGAGUGUUCACAAAUGCCACAUCCCGUGAGAGACAAAACUAUACCUUUUCAUCGUUUUCUUAAAAUAGACAAGACAAAUUUCUUAACGGCUCAUCUUUUUAAUUACUUUUGUUUUUGAAUGCCUAAAGCUGCUGGAGCAUAUUACUUUUGUGGACACUCCUGGAGUUUUGUCUGGUGAAAAGCAACGAACACAGAGAAGCUACGAUUUCACCGGUGUGACAUCAUGGUUUGCCUCAAAGUGUGAUUUGAUCCUCCUUCUUUUCGACCCCCACAAACUUGAUAUAAGCGAUGAAUUUAAACGAGUAAUUGGAUCUUUAAGAGGGCACGAUGAUAAGAUACGUGUGGUUUUGAACAAGGCCGACCAAGUUGAUACACAACAAGUACGACUUAUUUUUUAGACCUUUUCUUUUAACUCAUUUUUCAGCUUUCACAACAAAAACUAAGUGUUCUGUGCUAACUUGAUUAAUUGCAGCUUAUGCGUGUGUAUGGAGCUUUGAUGUGGUCCCUCGGGAAGGUACUAAAUACUCCCGAAGUUAAUCGUGUUUAUAUUGGGUAAGCACUCUGCGAUUGCUUUAUUUUUGUGAUAUUAUAGUUCACUUUUUAUUAGCUCAUAUCAAAGAGUAAAUGUCAAAUUUCCAUUAUGACCUAUAGGUCGCUUAGGUUAAAUUUUAUUUGGUUAUCAAGAUAGGAUUAGCCAAGAUAAUAUUUAAUAAUAAUCUAACAAAAAUCCAAUUGUUUUGUUGGACCCCUAAAAUGCAUGAGAACAUAAUAUUUUCGGAUCGACCGAGAAGUUAUUGUGUUCUCUGAUGAAUUCGCUAAGGUCUCUCUCCUUCUCGCACACACACACACACACACACACACACUCUCUCUCUCUCUCUCUCUCUCUCUCUCUCACACACAGACACACACACACACACUCUUUCUCUCUCUCAUACUCACAAACACUCUUACACACACUCUCUCUCACACACAUGUGCGCGCAUUAGAUUUAAAAAAAGGUAUAUGUUCUGUCAAACACUAAUGAAAAUGAGAACAAGUAGUAACUCUCUUUGGGUGAGUCAAAGUAUUUAAAUUUAAAAUAUUGGUAUAUUAUUAAAUAUUUUUCUUUUUCCGGCAAACACAUUAUUAUUCUAUAGACUUUUUCGAUUUGAAAUUCAAAGUAAUAAACUUAAUAUUAUUAAUUAAUCAAAUAAUUAGCUGUGCUGGUGAUGACGAGGUGUACACUUUAGGCCAAAUCGAAAUGAAUUUUGAAUUGCAACGAAAACGCGUGUCAUCUUAGUCAUAAUUUCCACCACUAAUAAUUUGACCAACCCAACUAUUUACAACUGUUGAUAUAUAACCUGAUGAAAUUGAUUUUAUAUUUUAUUUUAUAUAUAUAAUUUUUUGUUGUUUCAGUAACAUGAAGUUUGUUUUAUUGUGGGAAUAAAAUAACGAAAUAAUUGGACGUGUCAUGUCGGAGCCGUAAUUGCUUGAUUCAAAUGCGAACAGUACACGUUGCCGUUUGCACAUAUGUGGUCCCCACCCGCCGACGACUACUAAAUGGUAAUUGCACUUUUACUCCUUAAAUAUAUAGGUAUUUAGACAUAAUGAACCAUCAAUUUACAUCUUAUUUUGGAAAAUUGCCAAAAACACAUGAUUUAAAUUUUUUAUAACCCAAAAAGUCCCACGAAAUAUUCCUCUAUGUUAAGAAUCCCAAAAUUUCAAUAUCAAUGAUAACAUUGCCCGAAUGAUAAAAUUUAAAUUUAAUCAUUUAAAAGUUUGGUAUUUUGAAUUUGAAAUUUCUUAGAUUGAAUAAUUGUUUUAAGGAUUUUUAUUGAGAUACAUAGUUAGUAAUUAUAGUUUUUUGGUAUUUUUCCUUUCUUUCUUUUCGGAACUCCACACACAUCUUGCACGCACAAUUAAUUGGUAUGCUCCCCUUGCCAACAAGCCAACGGUCAUUAGACCAAGCUUGUCACAAAUGAUUAGCAUAGUUUAAUUUAUAUUUUUUGUAUGCUAACUAUUAUACAACAGUGUAGAUUUUUCCUUUAUAGGUGCACAAUUGUCUGCAGAUUUCUUCGUUACAAGAAAUAAAAAACUAAAUAAUAAUAAUUGUAAUUUUUCUUAUAUAUUUUAAUUUUCAUAAUAUGGUAUGAUUUUUUUUUUUGGUAAGAAUAAUAUGAUACGAUUUAAUCUAUAGUUCUAUACCACUAAUAAAAAUACAUUUAUUACCAAAUCAAUCACGACCACUUCACCUUCAUAAUAAACCACAUAUAAUAUAGUAUUAUUCUUUGGUGCUAUCAAUCAAUGUCACACUUAUUUUCAGUCGGAUCUGAGGUAGUAGCAGUGUAUAAACAUACAAAAAAAAUUAAAUAAUACAUACCAUCAUAUUUAUUACUCCAUAUUCUAUAGUUAUUUAAUUUAAUAUUUUAAUAUUUUUCAAAAUUGAAGAUUAUUAUGACACCGGUUUUAUGACUUUAUCCCUUCCAGAGUAAAAGUGAGGAAUAAGAUCCGCCACACGGCACAAUCCCAUUGGUUGUUGAACAGUUUUUAAUCAUUACAAAAAAAAAAAAAAAAAAGCUGAACAAAUAUUUCCGUGCUGGAUAGUGGAUAGUAAUUCAUAUAAAAUCGACCAUGAUAUAAGAUUUCAAUUCAGACCCACAAAAAUCAUUUCUAAUUUCCCUUCCUUAAUUCAGCCGAAAUCAGGUAAAAGAAAAAGUAUAAAAAAAUUGAUGAUCGUAGAUUGGUGGCGGCGAUGGCGGACGAAGAAACCCUGAUCAGCAGCAGUCAGACCAAGAACAGGAGCUUCGCGCGGUGCGCCUCCCACUCACACGACGAGCUCCAGGGAUUCCGCACGUGGCUGAAAUGGCUCUGCGUCGAUCAGUCCACCCACUGGACCGCCUGCCUCUCCUGGUUCGUCUUCUUCGCCCUCGCCAUUGUGGUUCCGGCGGUCUCGCAUUUCGUCCUCACCUGCGGCGCCGAUUGCGACAGCUUCCACAGCAGGCCGUACGACGCCGUCGCGCAGCUCUCCCUCAGCGGCAUCGCCGCCUUGUCCUUCAUUUGUCUCUCCACCUUCGUCCGGAAGUACGGCCUCCGGCGGUUCCUCUUCUUCGAUAAGCUCCGCGAUGAGAGCGAGACCGUUAGGAAUGGUUACACCCAACAAUUCAAUGUACGUUUUUUUCAUUUCAUUUCACUCCCUCUUACUGUUUGUCAAAAUGCCAAAGAAGAAAAGGUAAACAAAAAAGGUUAGGAUUGUCUUAUUGUUAAUUCUGACUUUUGUUCUUGAUUCCCCAAAUUGAUGCUCUGUUCAGCAAUUCUGUAGACUCAUUGCUUAGUCAGUUAGUCUACAUAAAUUAUACUAUAUCAAUUACUAUAGAAGAUUGAUGACAUGCAGCACUUGCACAGUAAUACCAGUAAUCACAGAUCUAAUGAACAGAGAAUUAUAGUUGCCGAUUUGAAGUCGUGAGUACAUUUAAGCAUACCGAACCCUCAAUCCAAUUCCUUUAGCAUCAAUUGCAAUGUUUAGAAACUAGUUCAUAUUUCUUUAUAUGCUUGUUACAUACAAUGAAAGUAGACUAUCUUCGUUGCACGUGCAGAGAUCACUGAAGAUCUUAUUCGUAUUCGUGCUGCCCUGUUUAGCUGCCGAGAGUGCGUACAAGAUAUGGUGGUACACAUCCGGAGGAACACGAAUCCCCUUCUUGGGGAACGCAGUAGUGAGCAACACCGUUGCUUGUGUGCUCGAGCUAUGCUCGUGGUUUUACAGAUCGAUGGUUUUUUUCCUUGUCUGUGUUCUCUUCCGCCUUCUGUGCUAUCUCCAGAUUCUCCGCAUGCAAGAUUUUGCACUGGUUUUCCAGGUCAACUCCGAUGUUGAAACAGUGUUGAGAGAACACCUCAGAAUCAGAAGGCAUUUAAGGAUCAUAAGCCAUAGGUACAGAGCUUUCAUACUGUGUGCGUUGUUCUUCAUCACAGCAAGCCAAUUAUCGUCUCUUCUUAUGACCACACGCCCCAAUGCUGAUGUCAACCUUUACCACAGCGGAGAACUAGCGGUAUAUAAUCUGUCUUAACAUUUUUUUAAUGAAUAUGUUUGUCUUGAGUGGGUAGGGGUAGGAAUUGGAAUGGAAUUUCCAAUUUCUGCCGAUUUUGAAACAAUAUUUGUCAUUCCGAAUUUUUCUGGAUCGGAAUUCCG